CUGAGAUUUUGUCAGACGACUUUUUGACGACUGCAGCGCCACGCAGCGAGUAUCUGAAUAAAGAGAAACUUCUGCUUCAAGAUAUCCAAAACGUCUCCUGGUCUCUAAAAGAAAAAGUUACUACAGUUUUGGUGCUGUGACCUGGAUAGAGCUUCUCACCAGACAUUGUUCCAGACUGAAUUCCAGAAACUUUUUUUCAGCUCAACAACGAUUUGGUGAGUGUUACUCUAUUCAAAGAACCACUACAGACCAGUACAUGUGGUUAGCCUCUGCGUCGCCAGAGAAGUGUUAACAAAUAGCUGCAGGGUUUGGUUAACAGACUAAUUAUCCUCUAUUCAGGUAGAGAAGAUUAGCAUUAUGUGCUAAUAUCUGUUAUCCUCUGUUUCAGGCAGGGAAGAUUAGCAUUACGUGCUAAUAUCAGUUAACGUAAAGUGCUAGUAGUUUAUGUUCAGGAAUCCUCUGCUUUGCCAGAGAAGGUUGAAUACAUGAUAAUGUGUAUUAACUAGGUUUUCCUCUGCUUUGCCAGAGAAGGUUAACAACAGUUGUUCUGUGUUAACAAAUUUAUCCUCUGCUUGCCAGGGAGGUGUUAGAAGUGUAUUGUUGUGUCAGUAAAACAUUACAAAAUGUAGAGAAGGAAUGCUAGGUUGAUUCCAACAACUGAGAAAGGUGGACUAGCUACACCUUUAUGGACAGACAAUGAGUUCAAAUCAUUGUUUGGAGAGCACAUGGACUCAGUAGUGACAGAGCCAGUCAGACUGGAUUUAACAAAGAAAUUUGGUAUUGAUCCAGAAAAAGUAAGGUCAGUUGAAGAAUGCAAAAAGGUACUUGGAGCAUGUAUCCGAAAGGAAAACCAUUAAAGACAUUAUCUGCUGCCACAGAGAGUUUAGUUUAGCUAUAGCACAAGAACAAGCUCAGUGUAUUGCUAAGUUAAAAGAACAAAACAAACAGCUGCACACUCGAGUGUCCUGUCUCACUAAAAAGGUGGGCCAUAACAAGGUCUCAACCAAAUGUGACUCAAACGACCAACAGUCAGAUUGAAAGCUAUCCUGACUUACAGUCUGUGUAGACAAGAGGACAAAUGCAAUACUAGAAGGAUAGAGAAAGAUGCAGCAAUUUCAGUUUAAGUAUGUGGAGCGAGACAAAGGGCUCAGAGCAGGGUAGAAGGGGUUGAAACCGUUCCAUCUGCAACCCCCAUACUCCAGUUACAAGCAGUCCAUACAGCGCUAGGACCUAAAGAUAUAGAGAGACUCUCCCAGAGCUUACCCUCAGCACGCACAAAUUUUUCUGAAUUUAGAAGAGCAUUGACUAGCAAAAUGCGUCUCUACGACAUGUCGUUAGCAGAAGUCACACAGCUGAUGUCACAAAUUCUAACUGAAUCUGAAUUCAACAGUUUUGAGUCUGCUGUUACUUCUGAACUACAACAUACCAGUAAAGAGGAUUUGAGAGAAAGUGUUUUGAAAAUUCUAAAGAAUAUCAUGGGACCCAAAAUUGACUGGUCCAGAAUCACUAACUGUGUGCAAAGGAAAGAAGAAACUGUGAAUGAAUACACUGAAAGGUUUUGUCAGACAAAUGACAAGGAACCCCUAGUCCGCAUCUGGUCAGAUGGCCGAGUACAGAAAAGCAUUGCCAUUCCUAGAUCUAGCUUGGUCUAACAGAACUCUCAGAAGUAACCUAGACUGCUUAGCUACUUGGGAAAGAGACUCUGAUGUUAAAGCAAGAGUAAAGAUUGUAGCAGCAUCCUUUCAGGUCAACACAAAGAACCAACAGAAACGUAAAUGUCCUAAGAGGGAGGGCAGUUGUCAUUACUGUGGUAAACUUAGACAUUGGAUGAAAGAGUGUAGGAAAAACAAAAAGUAUGUAAGAGAAAUGAACAGUGUAAAUCAGCUCCUACUCAGUCUGCUUGCAACUAUGAAGCAGACCCUCCCCACUACACCGAACUCAUGGGGCAGCUUGCUGAGGUGCUAACUGUUAAGGCUGUGAGUUCUUAAUUACCCCAGUAAUCUACAACAAAGAUGAAAAGAUUCCUUGUAAAUAGAACAAAAGGAAGUUGACUUCCUCCCACUGGGGGACAAUACUACAGCACACUCCAGUCACUCACCUAUCCUCUAUGGGUUAUGAUGUUUGCUAUGACUGAUGUUUCAUUAGAGGAUGGAGUGAUUGCACAGUUAAGUUCACACACCAACUACAGGGACAGACUAGGACACACACAGACCAGUGAGGAGCCCAGGGAAGAACCGAAGUGCUACAGGCCUCGGGGGCCAACCCUGUGGUGAAGAUUUCCUCAUAGGUUUUUCCCCUCAUCAGUUUGUCCCCACCUCACUGGUCCAUAGGUGUCAAAUGACUUAAGACUAGGUCAACAAAACCACUAUACAAUCACUAGACUUAAAACCACUAUACGAUCAACAGAAGUCUAAAAAUGUCUAUGCAUGAAUACUGCUGUUCUGCUGUUUCUCUGUUUACUUGUGUUGCAGGUAUGUGUACAUGCCAUGAUGUCUUCAAAAGCAGCAUCCUGGAGUAAAGCAUCACCUCAGACAUCCAUGAACAAGCUUCAUGAGGACAAAGAGUCAUCUGAGUGAAUCUACAUGGGAAAUGGACUACAGACUACACAGUUAUUCAGAUUGCCACCAAACUCGGUCAGCAUGACCUCAAGACAUUGGGGAUGCUAAAUUGCGGAGAGAUUUUUGAUAUCUCAAUUGGUUUGGGCGUGGCAAGGCAACGAAAUUAUGGCGACGAGGGCUGUCCCAAACUAAAGUGUGUGGACUCCAAAGUGCGAAUUUAAAGCGCGAUUGCCUCACAGUGUCACAACGUAAGCUGUCCCAAUUCAGGAUGCACCCUCCAAAGUGCGCAUUCCAAGGCCAAAUGCAUCACCGCGGCGUGACAAAGGCUGUUGUAAUUCAAAAGUGACGUCAAAUGCGGUCUCCGAUUCCCAGGAAAAUGAAGUGUACAUUGGACACUUUGCACCCUACUAUAUCCCAGAAUCACUUGCGCGCAGAUGACGAUGGACGAUAGACAGUUGGGGAAUUCACACUGAAAUGACUAUUUUGGAGAAAGUGAGCCUGCUGGGGAAAG